UACGGAGGGAGCUAGCGUUGUUCGGAAUUACUGGGCGUAAAGCGCGCGUAGGCGGCUUUGUAAGUUAGAGGUGAAAGCCUGGAGCUCAACUUCAGAAUUGCCUUUAAGACUGCAUCGCUUGAAUCCGGGAGAGGUGAGUGGAAUUCCGAGUGUAGGGGUGAAAUUCGUAGAUAUUCGGAAGAACACCAGUGGCGAAGGCGGCUCACUGGACCGGCAUUGACGCUGAGGUGCGAAAGCGUGGGGAGCAAACAGG
rnacentral:rRNA from 1 species